rnacentral:piRNA from 1 species
UUCACCUCACACUUAACCUU